AUUUCCAAUCCGAAAAUUGCCUAGACCGGCACCGGGAAUCGAACCCAGCCACCCUCAGCAGGGUCUUGAUUUGUAGCCGCGCGUCUUACCGCACGGCUAAGGAGGGCCCACUACUCGGUGCGUUAUAUAAACGUUAAAAUCGAUUGUCCUCGAAAUAAGACCCCCUACGAUUGGUAGAAAAGGCGUUAGCUCUUUGCUGCCGCAAGAAAACGCAUGAAGGAAUAACAUAAAUUGAGGCAAAGGGUUAACCGUCCGGAUCUCCGCAAUCGGAUAAGCUAGGCAGGCAAAAGCAGCGAACUCGGGUCAGGCAACAGUACCGAACGUAAGAAGCACGGCUUCGCAUAGCCAAGUUAGCGAAUCAAGGCAGGAAACGCAGGCAGCGAAGCGGAUAAUCCGGAAAGAAAAGGCUUGAGUCUGAGGGCGCUGUUCACGCUCCAAGGUGUCCAAAUUUCACCGAAAGAAUUGAACUGAGUCGAAAUUCC